rnacentral:snRNA from 1 species
GUGCUAAUGUCAUCAAUAUUAAAAUUGAAAUAACACAGAGAAGAUUAGCAUGGCUCUUGUGCAAAAACGACUUGCAAAUUGGUGAAGCAUUUUGUAUUUUG